CCCGCCCGCCCUCCGUCUGCGACAAUGCCAGGCAGGGACCGCCUGCAACACUUCGCUGGAAACGGGGGACGCAGGUUUACAGAGGACUUGUGUUUUCCUUGACCGAGUUCAAAAGUGCCAGGACAUGCAGAACUAGACCUGCAGGGCCUACGCCUCCUUCAGCCGUAGUGAUUUGAGUCUUUGGAAGCAUCUCCAAAUGAGGUUGACGGUGGCCUCUCGGACACCAGCGGGGAACGAGGCGGCCGCAGAACAGUGUCUCCGCGGAUUCGUUUCCUCUUUGUUUUUAAGGUACAAGAGGAGGAUCGAUGAUUCGGUUUCCUGAUGGAGUGAGGACUGCCAGCAGGAAAGUGAUAGAUGAGAAUGCACGCGAGCGUAUCCUAUGACGCGUUAAAACAUAUGCAACUUAUUUUGGCAAUACUGUCUUCUGUUGUUGUGGCCCGUUUCCCAUCACACCUGCAAGCUUGUAAUCAGAAGCAGGAGUCUCAGAGUUGAUGGAAUCGCCCCAGAGUGACUAACGUUGCCUUGUAAUUUGAAAGUGUACGUGGCUUGUUGACACUUAAGAACAUGUCAGUCCUUUCUUCCGGCUAACGUCUCUCGGAGGUGUGGAAGAGACACAUUGCGGAAAAAAAAAGGCAACGUCUACUCAGGCAACUCAAAGGCUCUGUCGUGAACAGAUCGCCUGACCUUGAAGAAGCAUGGGGAGUCCACCGUCCUGAGUCAGGCUUGCUGGUUUCCACUCGUUUUGUCUCCAUGCUUUCCUGGGGCGUCCAGCACCUGCCCUCUGCCCGCCACAGCCUCCACUGCCGGUGAAUAUCCUAAAAACACUGAGUUGGACCCUUUAAAAGGUAAAUCUACAAAGAAGACAUUAUCAACCACAUUUAUAAAUCAGGAUUCAGGACCCAGAGAUGGUGAAAGGAACAAAUUAAAUACUGUCUGAAAUCCAUUCAUUCGGGACUCUGCAUUCAGCCACCACUUUCUUGCAACGUGAGAACGAGGUAGGUGUCUAAGGAAGAGAGGAAAGAGAAGACCUAGAAGGGACAGGAUGGGAACCAGCCUCCCCUCUCUGGCCACACACGAAGGACCGGUGUGGAGCCUAUGAGGACAGAAGGUGAAGAACCAGUGCCAUGAAAUACUGAAUGGGAAUAAGUCCAUGCAGCACUGCCUCUUUCCUAGGAAACAAAAUCAGCACGGGCUUGAGGAGAAGCCAUUCCUCUUCCCGACCUACCAUCCACAGGUUGCAGUCACUUUGGUCCCAAGGGAGUCCGUUGGGAUCAAGUCUUACUGAGGCACCAGCUGCAGGGGUCAUGACAAGUGCCCUUGACCAAGAGGCUCACGUGGAAAGAACGUGAGCAAAUUCGUUCCUGGGCCCAUAGGAGAUGCCACCACCCUGAGGACACCCAGAAGUAGCUGGGGAAGAAUUUAAGCCAACAAGAAGAGCAUGGAGGUUAAUGUCUUACCAACAGGUGAAGAUCUGGAGCCAUGGAGACAUGGGUGUAAAUAUUAAUUGACCUUAUUUAUACUCACAAGCUAUUGAAACCUAGGAGGUGCGGAAUAAUUGCUAAUCCACUGUUCUUUCUUUGGACUCUAUGUCCCUGGCUCUAUUCCGGGGUUACUGCCACCAAAUCCAUGACUCCAUCAGAAGUCAGGGCUGGCAGGUUUGCUUCGCCCUCUCCUGCACACCUGCUCUUCCCUGUCUGGGCUUAGUUUUCAUACAAUUGGACUCAGCUUAUCUGCCUGCUCUCCUGAAGACUGGACUCUGCUCUCUCAUCUGAAUCUUUGUUACUUUGAUUAUGGGAUAAUAGGAAAUAAAUAUUUGGUCUUUGCCUCUGGAUCCUGGCACAGAGCUCCUAAAACUCUUGGAAUUUCCUGAGUGAUAAGAGUGUUUUCUGUAUGCUGAUGGCAGGGCCCCCAGGUAGCCUCAGAUGGGGGUGGGGAGGGGAGUUGGUCACCCCAGGAACCAACCACAUGAUUAGAGGGUAGGAACUUUCUGACCCGUUCUGAUCUCCAGGGAGGGGAGAUAGACUAGAGAUUGACUUCAACCACCAACAGCCAAUGAUUUAAUCAAUCACGCCAACAUGAUGACACUUAGCUGGGAACUCUGGAACAACCACCAAGCUGCAGGAGUUUCCAGGCUGGUAAGCACAUGAAGGUGCUGGGACGGGACGUGCACCUGGAGAG